rnacentral:rRNA from 1 species
AUACGUAGGUGGCAAGCGUUGUCCGGAAUUAUUGGGCGUAAAGCGCGCGCAGGUGGUUCCUUAAGUCUGAUGUGAAAGCCCCCGGCUCAACCGGGGAGGGUCAUUGGAAACUGGGGAACUUGAGUGCAGAAGAGGAUAGUGGAAUUCCACGUGUAGCGGUGAAAUGCGUAGAGAUUUGGAGGAACACCAGUGGCGAAGGCGACUGUCUGGUCUGUAACGGACACUGAGGCGCGAAAGCGUGGGGAGCAAACAGGAUUAGAUCCCCUGGUAGUCCACGCCGUAAACGAUGAGUGCUAAGUGUUGGGGGGUUUCCGCCCCUCAGUGCUGCAGCUAACGCAUUAAGCACUCCGCCUGGGGAGUACGGUCGCAAGACUGAAACUCAAAUGAAUUGGCGGGG